ACCCUCCCUCCCUGGCUCUGCUCCUCCCCCUCCCCGGAACCACCACCCCCUCAGCCCUGAGCUGCCGAUGCCCUCGGGGUUCUGUUUUCAUUCCAGGCUGUGGAUCCGGUCGUGGGAAGCAGUAUCUUCUCUCAGGAAGCGACUGAAGGAUGUGUUUUACCAAAAAUAAGAAAGCAAAAAGAGGAAGCUAUGGAAUACAAAACCAAACCUGGAAAGAGAGAAAGAAUCCCUAGGACAAUGAUGAAAGGGGACACCAAGAUGCAGCUGGGCGCAGUGGCUCACCCCUGUAAUCCCAGCACUUUGGGA